rnacentral:lncRNA from 1 species
GUCCAGCUGAGGCCCUCUUGGACAACACUUCCUCUCCUGCCCAUGGUGGGAGGUUGGGAAGGACAUUCCCCCAUUUCCAUUUGCUCUGCCAUUCAAAACCUUGUGAGGGCCCUCAGGGAAGAAUCCCUUUGCAGGUCAUAAACUGACCUGCAGAAUUAUGGGAUCUUAACUGUGGGGAGAGACCUAGAAGACCGGCUAGUGACCAGAUUCUCAUCUAACUCCUUUUUUUUUGCAGAUGAGGAAACUGAGGCCCCACGUGGUGAAGACAAUUUUUACCCGAAUCCACCCACAACAAGAGACCAUUUGGAUAAUGUACAUUAUGGGAAGAGAACAGAGUCUCAGUGAAGAUCAUGUUUCCCCAGCAACACAGGUGCCAGGAGUAGCUGGCUCUGGUCCCAGCCCAGACUCAGAAAUCCUGAGCCACCAGACCAUUUCUAGAUUAACAAUGACCCACUGGAAACCAGUGUCAGCAUAACAACAGUUACGAGAGCUAAACCUACAAAAUAGAACACAGGAGCUAUGUGGAGAGUUGAUGGAGGGACAUUCCAGGCAGAGAGAACAGCAAACACAAAGGCCUUGAAGGGAGCGGUGGCUUACAUCUGCAAUCCCACCACUUUGGGAGGCUGAGGCAGGUGGAUUGCUUGAUCUCAGGAGUUCGAGACCAGCCUGGGCAAUGUGGUGAAACCCAGUCUCUACCAAAAAAUACAAAAAUUAGCCGGGCAUGGUGAGCAUGCCUCUGGUCCCAGCUACCCAGGAGGCUGAGGUGGGAGAAUCACUUGAGCCUAGAAGGUCAAGGCUGCAGUGAGCCGUGAUUGAGCCACUGCAUUCCAGCCUGGGUGAUAGGGCUCAACACCACAUGGAAGCUGCCAAGGCUUGGGGCUCGCACCAUCUGAAGACAUGGUCUGAACUCUACGUUGGCCCUUUCAGCCAUGGCUGGAGCAGCUGGAACGCAGGGCAUCAAGUCUCUUGGCUGCACACAGCUCAGGGAAGCUGGACCUGGCCCAUGAAACCACUUUUUCUUCCUAUGCCUCCAGACCUGUGAUGGGAGGAGCUGCCAUGAAGACCUCUGACAUGCCCUAGAAACAUUUUCCCCAUUGUCUUAGGGAUUAACAUUCUGUGCCUUGUUGCUUAAGUAAAUUUCUGCCUCAUUGUCAGGCUGCAAAUUUUCUAAACUUUUAUGCUCUGUUUCCCUUUUAAUACUGAAUGCUUU